UGGAUCCUUGCUCUGGGCUUGGCCUUAGAGAUUCUUGGACUUCAACAGAGAACAUAUGCAGUCCCUGCCCUCCUGGGCACAGCCUCCUUCUCUUCCCUGUCAUCACUGGUGGUUGGUUAUAGAGGUCAUGAGUAUGGUACUGCAGCAAGAGCCAAUCCUAGUGCACCUUGUCUGACUACAUGACCUUGGGAAAGUACUUAGCCACUCUCUGCCUCAGUUACCUCAUUUGUAGAAUGGGCACAAUAAUCCUCACAUCACAUGAUGGAUGCUCAAUAAAUUGCAGUUACUAUUAAUAAUAAAUUAAUUAGAAAUAAUAAAUAUAUCUUAAUAAUAAAACUCAUAUAGUGUUCCUGACAAGUAUGUUUAAACUAAGUCCAAUCAUGAGCAAAUAAUGAGACAAAUUCUGAACUACAAAUCCAUAAUACAAACAUACUGGCACUCUUUGAAAACAUCAGUCUCAGGCUAGGGCUGUAACUCAGUGAUAGAGUGCUUGCCUAGCAUGUGUGAGGCCCUGAGUUUGAUCCCUAGCACUGAAAAAAAAUGUGUAUGUGCCAAUAUCACAAAAAGCAAAUGUAAGAAACUUUUCUAGAUUUUAAAACAUGAAAGGGAUAUACAACCAAAUUCAAAAUGUUCUUCAAGUUUGGAUUAUUGAUUUUAAAAAUAUAUAUCUAUAAAGAACAUUACCAAAAUAACCAAGAUAUGAAUAUUAACUUACACAACACUGUAGCAAUGUUAAAUUUCUUUUUAUUUAUUUAUUUUUUUAGGACACAAUACCUUUAUUUUACUUAUCUAUGUGGCACUGAGGAUCUAAGCCAAUGCCCCACGCAUGCAAGGCAAGCGCACUACCACUGAGCCACAACUCUAGCCCUGCAAUGUUAAAUUUCUUGAGUGUGAUAAUUACACUAUAUAAAUGCCCUCAUUCUUAAGAGAUAUAUGCUGAAACACUCAGAGAUAAAGCGUUGCUGGGGCUAACAUGCAUGAAGCCCUGGAUUAAAUCCCCAGCACCAUAAAGAGAGAGAAAAAGAGAGACAAAGGGUCAUGCUGUCUAUAAACAACUCUCAAAUGGUUCAGAAAAUUGCAUGUGUAGGGAUAGGGAGACAACAGAGAGAAAAGGAGAAAGAUGGGAAGAAAGACAACAGAGAAUUUGCAGCAAAAUGUUAAUAACUGAUAUAUUAAGUGAACAUGUGGGUAUUCCUAUUCUGUUCUUCCAAUUUACUAUAUAGAUUUGGAAUUUUUAAAUAAAAAUUAGGAAAGGUGAAAUUUAAUGUUUUUUAAAAACAAUAUGCAAGAUAGUGGUUGAAUUGGGAGGGAGGAGUAACUUGGAGGGAGCUCUCUCAGGGUGUUGGGGACGCUGUAUGUCCUGAACUGAAUGUGUUUGUUUCAGUAGGAUUUUUAAGCUGGACACUGAAGAUCCUACUCCUUUUUGCUUGUAUGUUAUAUGUCAAUGAUUAUAAGUUUAUUUAGAAUGAUUCUCAUAUUAAAGCAUUCUCCACUACACCCUUCCCUCUGAUCUAAGUCUUUGAUGCAAGACAGCCUUGGCAAGAGUAGAAGCUGGAAGGAAGGCUGGGGUUAGGCUCCCCUUCCCUGACUGUUAUGCCAUCUCCAGGGGGAGGAGAGGAGGCCUGAGUCUGAGGACAGCUUGCCGGGGCCUGGCUCCUUGGGAGGACUCAAGCUGUGUCCAGGAGGGCUCUAGCCUGCUCCUCUGAGCCAUGCCUGACUUCUGCUGUCAGGCCCUCAGGCAGGAGGUUAGCCUUGACU
rnacentral:lncRNA from 1 species